AUUGAACGCUGGCGGCAGGCUUAACACAUGCAAGUCGAGCGGGGUGAUGGUGCUUGCACUAUCACUUAGCGGCGGGCGGGUGAGUAAUGCUUAGGAAUCUGCCUAUUAGUGGGGGACAACAUCUCGAAAGGGAUGCUAAUACCGCAUACGUCCUACGGGAGAAAGCAGGGGAUCACUUGUGACCUUGCGCUAAUAGAUGAGCCUAAGUCGGAUUAGCUAGUUGGUGGGGUAAAGGCCGACCAAGGCGACGAUCUGUAGCGGGUCUGAGAGGAUGAGCCGCCACACUGGGACUGAGACACGGCCCAGACUCCUACGGGAGGCAGCAGUGGGGAAUAUUGGACAAUGGGGGGAACCCUGAUCCAGCCAUGCCGCGUGUGUGAAGAAGGCCUUAUGGUUGUAAAGCACUUUAAGCGAGGAGGAGGCUCUUUUGGUUAAUACCCAAGAUGAGUGGACGUUACUCGCAGAAUAAGCACCGGCUAACUCUGUGCCAGCCGCCGCAGUAA
rnacentral:rRNA from 1 species